rnacentral:ncRNA from 1 species
UUGGAAGGAGCCUAGGGCUUUGACCACGUACCUGUUGAAAAAUGAGCUGACUACUCAUAAGCAGUAGCUUGGUUAAGGGAACUCACCGGAGCUGUAGCGAAAGCGAGUCUUCAUAAGGCAGUUGUCACUGCUUAUGGACUCGAACUUGGGUGAUCUAUCCAUCACUAGGAUGAAACUUGGGUGAAACUAAGUGGAGGUCCGAACCGACUGAUGUUGAAGAAUCAGCGGAUGAGUUGUGAUUAGGGGUGAAAUGCCACUUGAACACUAUAGUUCUAAUAGGGUCGGA